UGAAGCUACGUGGAAACCAUGGCAACCGUCCUUCGGGCCGGGGUUGGCUGUUUCUCUAAUCCUCCCCCACCACCGCCAACCCCCGGGCCUGGACUCAACACCUGACAAAGCAAAAUACUUGUUGCCUUAAAUUCCGCCCUAAACGGAUUCCUCGCUUUCUCGUGGAGUCGCCGUCCUUCGGCAUCAGAGGAAAAUAAGAAUAGGCGAAGCUUCCUGAGCAUGCUUCCUGUUUUCGCCAAGGACAGAUUCCUUGAGAUCUGCUCUCCGGAUGGAAAAGAGUUUUACCCCCUCAUCUGCCUGAAAACUAAGGGAAAAAAAAAUGAAAUGAACAUACUAUCAGAUUCCUAUAACAUCACCUUCUCAGACAUUUCACUAAAUAAAGUGAAAUCACUGAAGAAAGAAUCAAUACAGGGCUUCCCUGGUGGCGCAGUGGUUAAGAAUCCGCCUGCUAAUGCAGAGUACACGGGUUUGAGCCCUGGUCUGGGAAGAUCCCACUAUGCCGCGGAGCAACUAAGCCCGCGCCUAGAGCCGGUGCUCUGCAACAAGAGAAGCCACCACUAUGAGAAGCCCGUGCACCACAUCAAAGAGUAGUCCCCACUCAACUCAACUAGCGAAAGCCUGUGAGCAGCCGCGAAGAUCCAACGCAGACAAAAAUAUAAAUUAAAAAGAACAAGAA